GGGAGUAUAUACCGUAGGGGCAGCGGGAUCGUCUGUAAAACGAUUGUGAAAGCUCGGGGUGUUCGACUCACUCUACUCCCACCA
rnacentral:tRNA from 1 species